UGUCUGCCGUCUGUGGGCGCGUGGAGUGGUCCCCCCUCCGCCUCUCAGCACCUGCCGCAGGGGGCCCUCCCCGGGUGUGACGUGGGUGUUUCCGCGGUCGGUUGGGGUGUCUCUGGAGAUCAGCCUUCCGCAGUGCUGUCCCCCAGCUCCGAGUGAGAGGUGCUCUUCCUCCUUGGGGUUCCUCACGGCCCCUGACGAGGGCACCUGCCCCCCCCAGGAGGCUGGACGUCCAGCUGAGGGGCGUUGGGCAGCUGAGGACUGGCAAGGCUGAGCCUCCAGCGCUUCUGGGGGAAGGUCACGGCCAGGACCACUGACAGACAACCCCUGUGGGUAUGCAGUGCAGCGGAAGCAUGACAGAGGCAUCUCAACACCAGGCUCUCUGCCACUGGUGCCGGGCCGCCCCUGCAUUCUCGGGGUGGGGGGGGACACACCUGGUUAGGAGCCGGGUCCUCCCAGCGGCUGUGCUUACCGAGCAGCCAGCAGGAUCGAGGAGCUGGGCGCCCGCUCUUCUGCCUCUCAUUUUCGUGGGGCAGCUGGGGAGCUCCAGGCGGGAAAGCAGCGUGGCCGCUGGUGGGCGAGUCAAGGAGUCAGAGGGCGAAGUGCAGCUGCUGCCCACUGCGGGCCCCUGGGAGCCGCGAGGAGAUGGGCCAGCGGCACUCGGGACGCCCGUGCAUCGUGUGGGGCUGCAGGUCAGGGACUGACCAGGAACCCAGCCCGGCAGGCUGACCCUUUGGAAAGAACCUCCUCUUGGGUGCACGGUGUCGCCAGCUUUCUCCUGGGGUUCGGAGGUGAUGCUGUGAGGUCGGGGCUCGGCACUCACGCCCGCAGUGGGUGGCGUCGGGAGAAGGUGGCCCGCCGGGAGCCUCCAGCCUGAACCGGGCCUGACUGAACCUGACUUUGCUGCCACGGCCACAGCUGCUCUGGGCUCUCCCUGGGAGUUCUGUGUCACCAGCUGUCCUCGAGGCAUGGACACGGGGUCAUCGUCCCACCUGCCGUCUCUAGGGUGUGAGCUGCCCCCUCUGCCCAGCUGGCUGGGGGGCCUCGGGGAGCAGAGCCCGGGUGUCUCCCGGAUGGGCCGUGGAGCUCAGAGCUGGGGGGCCUCGGGGAGCAGAGCCCGGGUGUCCCCCGAUGGGCCGUGGAGCUCAGAGCUGGGGGCCCUCGGGGAGCAGAGCCCGGGUGUCUCCCGAUGGGCCGUGGAGCUCAGAGCUGGGGGGCCUCGGGGAGCAGAGCCCGGGUGUCCCCCGAUGGGCCGUGGAGCUCAGAGCUGGGGGGCCUCGGGGAGCAGAGCCCGGGUGUCUCCCGAUGGGCCGUGGGGCUCAGAGCUGGGGGCCCUCGGGGAGCAGAGCCCGGGUGUCUCCCGAUGGGCCGUGGGGCUCAGAGCUGGGGGGCCUCGGGGAGCAGAGCCCGGGUGUCUCCCGAUGGGCCGUGGGGCUCAGAGCUGGGGGGCCUCGGGGAGCAGAGCCCGGGUGUCUCCCGAUGGGCCGUGGGGCUCAGAGCUGGGGGGCCUCGGGGAGCAGAGCCCGGGUGUCCCCCGAUGGGCCGUGGGGCUCAGAGCUGGGGGGCCUCGGGGAGCAGAGCCCGGGUGUCCCCCGAUGGGCCGUGGGGCUCAGAGCUGGGGGGCUCCGAGUUGUUCUCUGGACUUUGUCAAUGAAAAUUCAAGGAACUAUCAAGUUGAGAAGAAAAAAGCGAACUUCAUUCAAGCCAACUGAGGAUUCUCACUGGGGAAGCAGAUUCUCAGAAGCUCUGAGGACGGUUCUGCUUGCUCGGAGUGGAAGACACAGUCACGCACAUUUUCGAGACAAAGGAUCGUACGUCAGAAUGACAUGCGGCAUUUUACAUAAAGGUCACCAAGGAGGCACAGCCCAGGGAAGCACGUACAAAGUGGGCAGCGGGUCACCGUGGCCCCUACAGAGCUGGGAAGGACGCUAUUCUUUACGAAGUUGCACUGCCAGCGUCAGAAGAGAGGAAAAGUCAAUCUCUACGGGGGGCAGGCAGGCCCACCUUUGAGGAGCUCUGGCUACGGUGUGGCGCAGGUGCACACAUUCGGGGAGGGCCUAGUACGGGUCGGGAACACACCAUGCUUAAGUUUUCCUGCCCCGUCUAAAAUACAAAAUUUAUCUCACCAACUUUUCAGGGUCACCUCAAGUGUGGAGAGGAGAGGGGCGACCCCCACGGCAUCCACGUGGGCCCGCAGGGCUUCUGUCUGAUGGGGACUUUCCGUUGGGAAGAUUGCAGGCCAUCAUUUGCCUGAAUGCUGGGAUGAGCUAGACGUGGUUCCUAACGUCUGGUCUGAGUCUGUUCAAUGAACCGGACAGAAUUCAGCUUCCUAGAAUUGCGUUUAUGACCUCUGGCUAUUGGCCGGUCUGUAAACCAGCCCGUGUUCCUCCUUUUGGGGGCGUUGGAGCAGGGUUCAUACACGUGGCCAGUUUUGUGAAAGUCUGAAAGCUCACCCCAAAGCCACCUGGGCCUGGAGUGGCCUGUGCAGGUAGCCAGACACCCGAUAAUCUGAAUGCUUUCCUGAGGGUUAGCGCUCUAAUUAAGAUUUCCAUUUCUUCCUGAGUUGCUUUUGUUAAGUUUUAUUGCUAGAAAAGGAACGCUCCGGGAGAUGUCAUUGACGCUGUCAGUGUGCUGUGCUAGCAACUGUGCUCUGUGCCUGCUUGGUCCUCCCAGCACGCACUGUGUCCAGGGCACCAGGAGCAGAGCCUGCUGGGUGGGAGUGGGCGCGGGGG